UUCUGGUUGAUCCUGCCGGCAGGCACCGCUAUCGGAAUAACGAUUAAGGCAUGCGAGUCGAGAGGUGCAAGACCUCGGCAGACGGCUGAGUAACACGCGGGUAACCUGCCCUGGAGUGGGGGAUAAUCUCGGGAAACUGAGGAUAAUACCCCAUAGGUGUGGUAUGCUGGAAUGCUUCCACGCUGAAAACCACGGUGCUCCAGGAUGGGCCUGCGGCCUAUCAGGCUGUAGUGGGUGUAAACGGACCCACUAACCUACGACGGGUAGGGGCGUUGAGAGACGGAGCCCCCAGAUGGAUUCUGAGACACGAAUCCAGGCCCUACGGGGCGCAGCAGCUACGAAAACUGCACAAUGUGGGAAACCACGAUGCGGGUAUUCCGAGUGACAACGCAUUGCGUUGUCUGUUCUUUCGCCUAAAAGCGAGAGAAGUAAGGGCCGGGUAAGAACGGUGCC
rnacentral:rRNA from 1 species